rnacentral:rRNA from 1 species
UGAGUUUGAUUCUGGCUCAGGAUGAACGCCGGCGGCGUGCUUAACACAUGCAAGUCGAGCGAGAAGCUUUGGAUUGAUCCUUCGGGAGAGAGAAGAAGUGGAAAGCGGCGGACGGGUGAGUAACGCGUGGGCAACCUGCCCCGUACAGAGGGAUAGCCACUGGAAACGGUGAUUAAUACCUCAUAAGACCACAGUGACACAUGUCGCAGGGGUAAAAACUCCGGUGGUACGGGAUGGGCCCGCGUCUGAUUAGCUAGUUGGUGAGGUAACGGCUCACAAGGCGACGAUCAGUAGCCGACCUGAGAGGGUGAUCGGCCACACUGGAACUGAGACACGGUCCAGACUCCUACGGGAGGCAGCAGUGGGGAAUAUUGCACAAUGGGCGAAAGCCUGAUGCAGCAACGCCGCGUGAACGACGAAGGCCUUCGGGUUGUAAAGUUCUUUUCUUGAAGAAGAAUAACUGACGGUAUUCAAGGAAUAAGCCCCGGCUAACUACGUGCCAGCAGCCGCGGUAAUACGUAGGGGGCAAGCGUUAUCCGGAAUCACUGGGCGUAAAGGGAGUGUAGGCGGUCAAGCAAGUCA